UUUCCGUAGGUGAACCUGCGGAAGGAUCAUUACAGUAGUCGCCUGGGUUGCCGCAGUGCCUCCCGGGUAACCUACCACCCUUUGUUUAUUACACUUUGUUGCUUUGGCAGGCCUGCCCUCGGGCUGCUGGCUCCGGCCGGCGAGCGCUUGCCAGAGGACCUAAACUCUGUUUGUCUAUACUGUCUGAGUACUAUAUAAUAGUUAAAACUUUCAACAACGGAUCUCUUGGUUCUG
rnacentral:misc_RNA from 1 species